GUCGAAGUUCGGAAUAGCCUUGUUGCUAGAUAUUUCUCAUGAAUCAAAUGCGGUUUAAAGAAAAUAGAGAAGAAUGAAUCCAGUUCAAGCCCUAUCGAUUUAAUUUUUUUGUUAAUCGUUCAUUAAAAAAAAUUGUUAAAUACA